rnacentral:rRNA from 1 species
UUAUAAGAGACAGCAGUCGCCACGGGAAUACGUAGGGUCCGAGCGUUGUCCGGAAUUAUUGGGCGUAAAGGGCUCGUAGGCGGUUUGUUGCGUCGGGAGUGAAAACCCAGGGCUUAACUUUGGGCUUGCUUUCGAUACGGGCAGACUUGAGGCAUUGAGGGGAGAACGGAAUCCCUGGUGUAGCGGUGAAAUGCGUAGAGAUCUGGAGGAAUACCGAUGGCGAAGGCAGCCAUCUGGCCUAAUACUGACGCUGAGGUACGAAAGCAUGGGGAGCAAACAGGAUUAGAUACCCCUGUAGUCCCUGUCUCUUAUAC